CAGCCUGGUUGACAGAUCAACUCUGCGGGGCUUCGGCGAGCCAGCUAAAUAUGGUGAAGUUGCCUUUCUGACACCGACAGGAAGAGGUGGGCUCUGUGUCACCACACGUCAGAACCAUCAACUCCGCCUUCACCUAAAGAUGAUAGCGGGCACGGAAGGCCACGAGACGAGCAUAGUAGGCUGGCGCAGGGAUGGAGACUGAGCGGGUACAGCGCACGUACGUGUGGCACAACUGUCAGGAGGAUCAGACAGACCCACUCUCCUCUCCCAUCCUUUGCCGUGUGUGACUCAAACGUUUGUCAUAAUUGCUAGGCAACAACGCAGCCAACCACAGUCGAGCUGGGGUCAAGGGCGGACGGGGGUUGACGUCAUUUCCUUUUUGAACGCUCAUUUAUGGUGUAUCCAAGUCAGACUGACAACAGACGGGUUUCAUGAAACUGACUUUUAAAGCAGGGUGUGUCCGGGUCUUUGCCAUUGAUUUAUUGCAUCAGAAUAUGAACAAGUUGGUGCUGAUGAAAUGUUCUGAUCAGGCAAAAUACUUCAACAGUUCAUCAGGCUGAAUUGGUUGGUAAGUGUUAUUAACAGCUAGUGAUUACACAAGCUGUAAAUAAAUGCGGUGACUAAUAAAAAUGCCAAAAUGAAUUACAAGUGCGCAGAUACCCGAUACCAGAGCCAAUAGGUGAUCUCAUCCAUCCAGCAAACAUAAUACUAUUUCCCUGUUUCUGUUGCUAGAAUAGGAACAAUUAUAAUGGAUGCUCACAUAUGAGCAGCGUGCAUUGACAUUCACUCUACAGCAUUAUGUGUGUAAGUUUGAAGUGCUUCUGCCUCAAAUAUCUAUUUUUGGCUAUGGGAUUCUUCUCUCUUGGCAACAUUCAUGAACACUGUGACCUGGUGCCGCUGUCACUGAGCAACCACGACCGCGUGCGUCGGCUUGUCUAUGACAUCUCGAGGUCGUUUGCAUUACUUCCAUGCCCCUGUUGUUUUUUGAUUUGCCUAUAAAAAGGAGUGCUCCUGCCAUCACAGCACCUGGACGGCCAUCAGACACGUAUAUACUUUUAACAUUGUGUAACGAUAGACUUAUAAAUAGAUAACAGAAAAAGUUUUUUUAUGGCUUUGAAAAGGAUUUAAACAGGUAGACCAAGGUUGAAACGUUUGUGCUGGACACCUUCCAUUAUUCUUGGAGGCUACUAUUCCCCAGGUAAAGGUCUAAUCCACUUUUUUUCCCCCUUCUAGCCAUCUGUGUAUCAGAGCUGACACAGAACUGCUGUGUCCAACACAAACAGUAGCAGUGGACAGAAGCUGCCUCAUAUUCAUGCUGAUUAGAAGUAUAUAAAUGCAUUACUCUGACUUGUUGCUGUAUCUAUAUCAAUUGCAGCCAACUGACCUAAGCUGCUGUUCCUGUCAUAAACUCAUACUAUCGAUGCUGACUUGAGAAAAAUAAAUAACCCUGACUGUAUAGAUGUCUACGAUCCACUAGACAAUCAAUAUUUACCUCAAUAUAAUAUAAUAAGAGAUGAGAGUCUCCAAAUGUUAUAUUACGAUAUUGUCUCGCAAAAAUAUCUCGAUUCACAAUAUUAUUGUGGUUUGGGUUGGGGAACAUGUUUUUUAUUUAAUUUCAUUUGUAUUUCAUGUUGAUCAGUAGCAUGAAUGACUACAGGACUGACAGUUCCCUUUUGCUACAACACAAAUACAACCCUUUUGAAUAAUAAAAUAAUAACAAUUUAGACAAUAUUUGCACAAUGUAUUGGUGCAGCUAACACAUAUUCCCACUGUUUAAUCACCUGGAUUUUGUUUUGAUUGAGAGACAAAAGCGCUCCAGUGUCCCCCACGCAUCGACUCAUCCUGCACACCCCGACUUUGUUGCACAGGAACUGCACAUUCCCUUCCUUUUCCUGAGAUUGUGUUCAAGGUCAACUAGUGUUUUAUUAAU